rnacentral:rRNA from 1 species
CCUACGGGUGGCAGCAGUGGGGAAUAUUGGACAAUGGGCGAAAGCCUGAUCCAGCCAUGCCGCGUGUGUGAAGAAGGCCUUCGGGUUGUAAAGCACUUUCAGUGGGGAAGAAAGCCUUGGGGCUAAUACCCUCGAGGAAGGACAUCACCCACAGAAGAAGCACCGGCUAACUCCGUGCCAGCAGCCGCGGUAAUACGGAGGGUGUGAGCGUUAAUCGGAAUUACUGGGCGUAAAGCGCGCGUAGGCGGUCUGAUAAGCCGGUUGUGAAAGCCCCGGGCUCAACCUGGGAACGGCAUCCGGAACUGUCAGGCUAGAGUGCAGGAGAGGAAGGUAGAAUUCCCGGUGUAGCAGUGAAAUGCGUAGAGAUCGGGAGGAAUACCAGUGGCGAAGGCGGCCUUCUGGACUGACACUGACGCUGAGGUGCGAAAGCGUGGGUAGCAGACAGGAUUAGAUACCCUAGUAGUC